UGGCCCCAUGGUGUAACCGGCUAACACGCAGCCCUCUCAAGGCUGAGAGCGGGGGUUCGAGUCCCCCUGGGGCUAU
rnacentral:tRNA from 1 species